CCUACGGGUGGCUGCAGUCGAGGAUCUUCGGCAAUGGGCGCAAGCCUGACCGAGCGACGCCGCGUGUGGGAUGAAGGCCUUCGGGUUGUAAACCACUGUCUGGGGGGAGGAAAUGCAUGGGAGUUCUCUCCUGUGUUUGACCUAUCCUCGGAGGAAGGACGGGCUAAGUUCGUGCCAGCAGCCGCGGUAAGACGAACCGUCCAAACGUUAUUCGGAAUUACUGGGCUUAAAGGGUGCGUAGGCGGCGAGGAAAGUAGGGUGUGAAAUCCCUCGGC
rnacentral:rRNA from 1 species